rnacentral:rRNA from 2 species
AAAUUGAAGAGUUUGAUCAUGGCUCAGAUUGAACGCUGGCGGCAGGCCUAACACAUGCAAGUCGAACGGUAACAGGAAGCAGCUUGCUGUUUCGCUGACGAGUGGCGGACGGGUGAGUAAUGUCUGGGAAACUGCCUGAUGGAGGGGGAUAACUACUGGAAACGGUAGCUAAUACCGCAUAACGUCGCAAGACCAAAGAGGGGGACCUUCGGGCCUCUUGCCAUCGGAUGUGCCCAGAUGGGAUUAGCUUGUUGGUGGGGUAACGGCUCACCAAGGCGACGAUCCCUAGCUGGUCUGAGAGGAUGACCAGCCACACUGGAACUGAGACACGGUCCAGACUCCUACGGGAGGCAGCAGUGGGGAAUAUUGCACAAUGGGCGCAAGCCUGAUGCAGCCAUGCCGCGUGUAUGAAGAAGGCCUUCGGGUUGUAAAGUACUUUCAGCGGGGAGGAAGGGAGUAAAGUUAAUACCUUUGCUCAUUGACGUUACCCGCAGAAGAAGCACCGGCUAACUCCGUGCCAGCAGCCGCGGUAAUACGGAGGGUGCAAGCGUUAAUCGGAAUUACUGGGCGUAAAGCGCACGCAGGCGGUUUGUUAAGUCAGAUGUGAAAUCCCCGGGCUCAACCUGGGAACUGCAUCUGAUACUGGCAAGCUUGAGUCUCGUAGAGGGGGGUAGAAUUCCAGGUGUAGCGGUGAAAUGCGUAGAGAUCUGGAGGAAUACCGAUGGCGAAGGCGGCCCCCUGGACGAAGACUGACGCUCAGGUGCGAAAGCGUGGGGAGCAAACAGGAUUAGAUACCCUGGUAGUCCACGCCGUAAACGAUGUCGACUUGGAGGUUGUGCCCUUGAGGCGUGGCUUCCGGAGCUAACGCGUUAAGUCGACCGCCUGGGGAGUACGGCCGCAAGGUUAAAACUCAAAUGAAUUGACGGGGGCCCGCACAAGCGGUGGAGCAUGUGGUUUAAUUCGAUGCAACGCGAAGAACCUUACCUGGUCUUGACAUCCACAGAACUUUCCAGAGAUGGAUUGGUGCCUUCGGGAACCGUGAGACAGGUGCUGCAUGGCUGUCGUCAGCUCGUGUUGUGAAAUGUUGGGUUAAGUCCCGCAACGAGCGCAACCCUUAUCCUUUGUUGCCAGCGGUCCGGCCGGGAACUCAAAGGAGACUGCCAGUGAUAAACUGGAGGAAGGUGGGGAUGACGUCAAGUCAUCAUGGCCCUUACGACCAGGGCUACACACGUGCUACAAUGGCGCAUACAAAGAGAAGCGACCUCGCGAGAGCAAGCGGACCUCAUAAAGUGCGUCGUAGUCCGGAUUGGAGUCUGCAACUCGACUCCAUGAAGUCGGAAUCGCUAGUAAUCGUGGAUCAGAAUGCCACGGUGAAUACGUUCCCGGGCCUUGUACACACCGCCCGUCACACCAUGGGAGUGGGUUGCAAAAGAAGUAGGUAGCUUAACCUUCGGGAGGGCGCUUACCACUUUGUGAUUCAUGACUGGGGUGAAGUCGUAACAAGGUAACCGUAGGGGAACCUGCGGUUGGAUCACCUCCUUA